UUCAUCUGUUGUCAAUCAUUAUCAUAUACAUCGGAAUAUGUUCAAUUUGAUGGUCACUUAAUAAAUAGUUAGUAAACUAGAUAGACGUGUUCUUUUACCUCUCUCUCACAACAUUACAGGUACCAUCUGAAUUUCAGAAGCUUUGUAGCUGUCAUUUCGAGAGUGAUCAAUGCCCAGAUCUUAAGUCCAGAAAACCGGGAAACAAGAACAAGAUCCCAACAAUAUUUUCUCACAAGGAAACCCCUAAAAGAAAGCCUCCUAAUAAAUAUAUGAGAUCAUGUGAAAAGCCAGAAACAGCAACCUCAUCUUCUCUUUCAGAAAGUACAGAAACUGCAUCAAAGGCUGACCAACGCCCACCUUCAACACUGCCAAC